AUUGAACGCUGGCGGCAUGCUUUACACAUGCAAGUCGAGCGGCAGCGCGGGGGCAACCCUGGCGGCGAGCGGCGAACGGGUGAGUAAUGCAUCGGAACGUAUCCUCGAGUGGGGGAUAACCCAGCGAAAGUUGGGCUAAUACCGCAUGAGCUCUGAGGAGGAAAGCGGGGGACCUGCGAGGGCCUCGCGCUGGAGGAGCGGCCGAUGUCCGAUUAGCUAGUUGUUGGGGUAAAGGCUUACCAAGGCGACGAUCGGUAGCUGUUCUGAGAGGAUGAUCAGCCACACUGGGACUGAGACACGGCCCAGACUCCUACGGGAGGCAGCAGUGGGGAAUUUUGGACAAUGGGGGCAACCCUGAUCCAGCCAUGCCGCGUGAGUGAAGAAGGCCUUCGGGUUGUAAAGCUCUUUCGGACGGAACGAAAUGGGCGGGACUAAUACUCCUGUCUGAUGACGGUACCGUAAGAAGAAGCACCGGCUAACUACGUG
rnacentral:rRNA from 1 species